AGUCUUCCAAGAUCAACGCAAGAAUGAGGCGAAGCAAGUGAAGCGACCCCACCGCAACGCUCCAGAUGAGGGCUACACGUAUACUCCUCCUCUGCCACUAAACACCUGCGCAGGCAGCCCCCUCAUGGUGUUCGGGCAACCAGGGCCAGUGUCCAUCGUGACAGUGUUCAGCAGCUGGGGCCCUCAGCCGGUGUCGGUGUCGUGCCCGUACUGCAAGACGUUCGUGACGACCCAGGUGUGCCCUCAGCCUGGACUGCUCACCUGGCUCAUGUGCAGCGGGAU